GCCACCUGCUCACGGCGGUCCUUUUCUUUGGAGGUUUUAUUGGGUCUCGCCCCUGCCGGGCUCCGCUUGCUAGAGGACGGUCCUCCUAGAGGGAAGGUCGUAGUCAUGGAGCAGCGAGGGAGGAAGGGGACACCCACCUAGUGAGCCAAGUCGCCCUCACAUCCAUCGCGGUCAUUUUGGCUUCUCUGGUCAGCUCACCCCGUCGGAGGCUCCGGAGCGCCGGGUCGGGCUUGAGGGGACGGACGGGGAGGCGCGAGAGGAGGCGCCGUCCCCGCGGCCCAGGCGGCUCUGAGGCUCGGCGACGCCGCCCGGGGCCCCGCGCCAGGCCCGGGCCAGGGAGCGCCGCGCCCGGCGCCUCGUCUCCCGCCGCUCCCGGCCCCGCUCCGCCCCCGAGGCCGAUGGCGGCGGCCGCGCGGAGGGAGCCGGCUCAGGAGAGUAUGACCUUUGGAGACGUUGCUGUGUACUUCUCCUGGGAGGAGUGGAGGCUCCUUGGUGAAGCUCAGAGGGACUUGUACCACGAUGUGAUGCUGGAGAACUUUGCACUCAUAUCCUCACUGGGUUGCUGGAGUGGAGCAGAAGAUGUGGAGGCUCCCUUUGAACACAGCAUUUCUGUAGGUGUGUCACAGGACAGGACUCCCAAGGCAGGUCUGAGAAAAAGUGAUUAUGCCUGGGUUGAAUGCAAGAAAGGCUUCAGGCCGAAGCACAUGCUUGUUCAGGACAAGGGUGUGCACACUGGAAGACAGUGUUUUGUGUGCCGUGAAUGUGGGAAAGCAUUCAGGUACAGAUCCUCAUUUGUUGUUCACCAGAGAGUCCACGCUGGAGGAAGGCUUCAUGUGUGUAGAGAAUGUGGCAAAUCUUUUAGGCGAACCUCAGCCUUCAGUCAGCAUCGAAGAAUUCAUUCUGGAGCAAGGCAGUACAAAUGCAGCAAAUGUGGACAAUCCUUUAACCAAAAAUCUAUCCUUAUUUAUCUCUGGAGAAGUCACUCUGGAGAAAGUUGUUACUUGUGCAGUGAAUGUGUGCAGUCUUUUUGCUGUGGAUCUAUCCUUAUUCAACAACGAACAGUUCACACAGGAGAAAGGCGUUAUAAGUGCACUGAGUGUGGGAUAUCUUUUAGAAGAAAAUGUUACCUCAUUGUACACUGGAGACUUCACACUGGAGAAAGGUCUUAUGAAUGCAGUGAUUGUGGGAAAUCUUUUACCAAAAGCUUGGUACUCAUUCUCCACCGGAGAGUACAUACAGGAAGGAGGCCUUUUCAAUGCAGUAUAUGUGGGAAGUCAUUUACCAACAGCUCAAGACUAAUUCUACACCAGAGAGUACACACAGGAAAAAGGCCUUAUGAGUGCAGUGAAUGUUGGAAAUCCUUUAGCCAUCUAUCUUACCUCAAUCAACACCAGACAGUGCAUGUUGGAAAAAGGUCUUAUGAAUGUGGUGAAUGUGGGAAAUCUUUUUCAUCUGGUUCCAACCUCAGUGAUCAUCAGAGAGUUCACACAGGAGAAAGGCCUUAUGAAUGCAGUCAAUGUGGGAAAUCUUUUAUCCAAAGAUGUCAUCUUGUUAGACACCAACGAGUUCACACAGGAGAGAGAUCAUAUGAGUGUAGUAAAUGUGGGAAAUGUUUCACCAUUAGGCAGACCCUCCGUUAUCAUGAGAAAGUUCACACAGGAGAAAGACCUUAUAAGUGCAAUGAUUGUGGGAAAUCCUUUAUAGAAAGAUGCCAUCUUGUUAAACACCAACGAGUUCACACAGGAGAAAAGCCUUAUGAAUGCAGUGAAUGUGGGAAAUCUUUUAUCAUAAGAUCCAAUCUUGUUGUACACCAGCGAGUUCACACAGGAGAGAGGCCAUAUGAGUGCAGUGAAUGUGGAAAAUCUUUCAGCCUUAGGAGCACCCUUCGUGAUCAUCAGAGAGUUCACACUGGAGAAAGGCCUUAUGAGUGCAGUGAAUGUGGAAAAUCCUUUAGAGUAAAUUCUCAUCUCAUUCGUCACUGGAGAUUUCACACUGGAGAAAAGCCGUAUAGAUGUAGUGAAUGUGGGAAAUGUUUUAGGUCUAGUGUGAGCCUUCGUUGUCAUGAGAGUAUUCACACUGGUUCAAGACCUUAUGAGUGUAUUGACUGUGGGAAAUCAUAUGCCAUUAGACCGACCCUUACUCGACACCGAAGAAUUCACACAGGAGAAAGACCUUAUAAGUGUGGGGAAUGUGGAAAAUCCUUCCGGCGUAAUUCACAUCUCAGUGAACACCAGAGAGUUCACACUGGAGAAAAGAAUUAUGAGUGCACUGAAUGUGGGAAAUCAUUUAGGGAUCGUUCCCAGCUCAAAAAGCACCAAACAGUUCACACUGGAGAAAGGCCUUUUGAGUGUAGUGUAUGUGGGAAAUCUUAUACCAGUAGCUCGACACUCGCAAAACACCGGAGAAUUCAUACAGGUGAAAGGCCUUAUAGGUGCAGUGAAUGUGGGAAAUCAUUUAGGGAUCAUUCCCAACUCAAAAAACACCAGCGAGUUCACACUGGAGAGAGGCCUUUUGAGUGUAGUGAAUGUGGGAAAUCUUAUAGCAGUAACUGGACGCUUACUCAACACCAGAAAAUUCACACAGGAAAAGGCCUUAUAAGUACAGUGAAUGUGGGAGAUCUUUCAUGAGUAGUUCACAUUGCAGUAAACAACAGAGAGUUCACACUGGAGAAAGGCCUUAUGAGUGCACUGAAUGUGGGCAAUCAUUUACGGAUAGUUCCCAAUUUAGUAAACACCAGAGAGUCCACAUUGGGUAAAGGCUUUAUGAGCAUAGUGAAUGUGGAAAAUGUUUUGUCUUUAGCUUGACGCUCAACACCGGAGAGUUCACACUAGAGUAAGGGUUUAUGAGCGCACCCAGUGUGGGAAAUGUUUAACCCAAAGCUCUGCACUCUGUCAACAUGAGAGACUUGACACUGGAUCAAGUUCUUAUGAGUCAAGCAAAUGUGGAAAAUUCUUUAGCUAAAGGACUGUGUUCGCUUCACAUCGAUUGUUGAUACUGCGUCAAGCCUAAUGAGUGCAGGGAAUGUCGAAAAUGAUUUCCUAAAUCUCCACUCUCAUUCAACACUGGAGAAUUCACGGUGUAGAAAGUCCUUAUGCUGUACCAGAUGUGGUGAAUCAUUUUUAAUUUGGCCUUUUUACUACCUUUUUUGUGCUAUUUCAUUGUUGUUUUAAUUGCAUUUCCCUAAGGAUUCCUGAUGAGCACUUUUUCAGAUGUUCAUUUACUAUAUGUAUGUUUGUGAUAAAAUGUCCGCUAAUAUCUUUUGCUUAUUCUUUUAUGAAAUUUGGCUACUAUCCUUUUCUUUGGCAAAUAGGGCUGUGAAGCAACGAAGGUGUAUGUUGGAAUUUCAUUCUCAAAUACAUGACUGACCUCCUUUUAUAAUGGAAUAAUUAUUUUCAGUACUGGAAGAAUAUAUCCUAAUUUUCUUUAAGAUUUUUUAUGCUGUGCACAAUGUAAUGGGUACAAAUACCAUAUUUUUUUAAUACUAAUUUGCACUGUUAACAUAUUUUCCAUUUGUUUCUUAACUUCAGACAUUCAAUAAUGCUAUAAAGUCUUACCUUGUAGUGUUUGCUCAUUUUCCUGGUUUAUCAUUGGUGGGUCAGAGCAGAUGGAGGCCCAGAUGGUAUCAGGAUAGAUUGGGUGUUCAAAGCCCCACAGGGAGGGAAUGGGGAGGGCAGUGAUCAGACACCCCCAAGGUGCCGGAGUUUGACUCUCAGGUCUCCAUUCAUCACUGGAGCUUAUAGACAAUGACCCCCUUCUGAGCCUCAGUUUCCUCCUGUGUGAAAUGGGAACUAGAGGUGACCCUGCGCCUGGGCUAUUGGAAGAGGUCAAGAGUCAAGGUGCCCAUUCACUGCGCAGCAGCUGCACCUAUUCUCUCCACCUGUGUGCAGUGACAAUCACGGGGCAGGGCACCCCUUUAUCCCCUCAGGCGGGAGGGGGCUGUGGGGUAGUGAGGUUUGGUGUGGGUUCCCCACCAGGGAAUGUUUGAGUACCUUGCUGGAGCUCCUGGAGGCUCAGUUCACUGACUGUGAGAUGCAGGUGAUGACUGCAUUGACCUUGGCCUCCCUGAGGAUCAAUAAAAGUAACAAACAUGCUGAGUUCUUA